AUGGAAGGUAAUUCUGUGGCUUGGAGAUUGACAUGCUUCUAUGGAGAACCUAACUGGGAUCAGAAGCACUUGUCAUGGACGUAUUUGAGGAACCUUCAUGGUAAUUCAACGGGACCUUGGUUGGUCCUGGGGGAUUUUAAUGAGAUCCUGGUGGCGAGUGAGAAGGAAGGCGGGAAUGUUAGACCACAACAAUACAUGCAGAAUUUUAGAGAUUGUGUAGAUGAUUGUGAGCUACAAGAAGUCACGACUAUUGGAGAUCCUUUUACCUGGAGUCGUGGAGUAAUCAGAGAGCGCCUAGAUAGAGGCCUUUGUAAUGAGCAAUGGGCUGUUAUGUUCCCAUUUGCGGGCUUGAUUCAUGAACACCACGUCCACUCUGAUCAUAGACCGAUUCUAUUGGACACUGAUUAUUUUGCUUCUACUAUGGGACAGAAACCUUGCGGGGAAAGAAAGUUUGAAGCAAGGUGGUUGAAUGAAGCUACAGUGGAUGAGAUAAUCCACACUGCUUAUGAAAGAGCUAAGCUUGCGGGGAUUGGGCCUUCACUUUCGGACCGCACAAAAGCAAUUAAAGAUGACUUGCACCAGUGGGAUAGAAAUACACUUCAGGGGCCUAAGAAAAGAAUACAUAAGUUGAAGAAGGAACUAGAGAAGCUGAGAAGAGGACCGCUGACUGUGGUGGUCCGCCAAAGCUGA
rnacentral:rRNA from 1 species